AGCAGCCGCGGUAAUUCCAGCUCCAAUAGCGUAUAUUAAAGUUGUUGCAGUUAAAAAGCUCGUAGUUGAAUUUCGGGAUUAGUACGUUGGUCGUGCCUUCGGUACGUACUGGUGUUACUGAUUCCUACCUUCUGACGAACCAUCAUGUCAUUAAUUUGGUGUGGCGGGGAAUCAGGACUGUUACUUUGAAAAAUUAGAGUGUUUAAAGCAGGCUCGCGCUUGAAUACAUUAGCAUGGAAUAAUGAAAUAGGACGUUGACCCUAUUUUGUUGGUUUCUAGGAUUGACGUAAUGAUUAAUAGGGAUAGUUGGGGGCAUUAGUAUUCAAUUGUCAGAGGUGAAAUUCUUGGAUUUAUUGAAGACUAACUACUGCGAAAGCAUUUGCCAAGGAUGUUUUCAUUAAUCAAGAACGAAAGUUAGGGGAUCGAAGACGAUCAGAUACCGUCGUAGUCUUAACCAUAAACUAUGCCGACUAGGGAUCGGAUGAUGUUAUUUUUA
rnacentral:rRNA from 1 species